rnacentral:lncRNA from 1 species
GGUCCUUGCUAUGUAUGUUGACUAUUGUAGGUUCCGAUUCACUGUUUGAAGUAGGAUGCACCUAGAUAGAAUCUAUCAUCUUUGGUAGAAAAGGAGAAGUCCUAUGCAAUUCGUAAGAUUGAGUUCAGAAAAUCUCUGACCAGCAUAAGUGUGAAUAUUGGAAAAGAAUUUUCACAGGAUUCACAGAUGAACUUGAGUCAAGCCAAUCUAGCAUAUGAUUGACGAUGGGGUUUGACGAGUUCUCCAUGACCUC